rnacentral:rRNA from 1 species
CUACGCACUCCUACGGGAGGCAGCAGUGGGGAAUAUUGCACAAUGGGCGCAAGCCUGAUGCAGCCAUGCCGCGUGUAUGAAGAAGGCCUUCGGGUUGUAAAGUACUUUUCAGCAGUGAGGAAGGUGGGGAUGUUAAUAGCAUAUUCAUUUGACGUUAGCUGCAGAAGAAGCACCGGCUAACUCCGUGCCAGCAGCCGCGGUAAUACGGAGGGUGCGAGCGUUAAUCGGAAUUACUGGGCGUAAAGCGCAUGCAGGUGGUUUGUUAAGUCAGAUGUGAAAGCCCGGGGCUCAACCUCGGAAUUGCAUUUGAAACUGGCAAACUAGAGUACUGUAGAGGGGGUAGAAUUUCAGGUGUAGCGGUGAAAUGCGUAGAGAUCUGAAGGAAUACCGGUGGCGAAGGCGGCCCCCCUGGACAGAUACUGACACUCAGAUGACGAAAGCGGUGGGGAGACAAACAGGAUUAGACUACCCUGGUAG